GCCCAGACUCCUACGGGAGGCAGCAGUGGGGAAUAUUGCACAAUGGGGGAAACCCUGAUGCAGCGACGCCGCGUGAGUGAAGAAGUAUUUCGGUAUGUAAAGCUCUCUCAGCAGGAAAGAAAAUGACGGUACCUGAAGAAGAAGCCCCGGCUAACUACGUGCCAGCAGCCGCGGUAAUACGUAGGGGGCAAGCGUUAUCCGGAUUUACUGGGUGUAAAGGGGGCGCAGACGGCGAUGCAAGCCAGGAGUGAAAGCCCGGGGCCCAACCCCGGGACUGCUCUUGGAACUGCGUGGCUGGAGUGCAGGAGGGGCAGGCGGAAUUCCUGGUGUAGCGGUGAAAUGCGUAGAUAUCAGGAGGAACACCGGUGGCGAAGGCGGCCUGCUGGACUGCGACUGACGUUGAGGCCCGAAAGCGUGGGGAGCAAACAGGAUUAGAUACCCCAGUACU
rnacentral:rRNA from 1 species